AUACCAAUAUUUCGAGUUUAUAUUAAAAUAGUAUAAAAUAAAGUGAUUUUUAAAGGGAUUAGAACUGUUGAGUGCAAUAAUUGUUGGUAAAAUCUAAUUUUUGUUAUUUAUUUCAUUGUUCUAAAUAAUAAUCUUUGAAAGCAAGACUGAAAACUAGGAUUAGAGACCCUAUUAUUCUUAUUUUAAAAUUUUUUUGUACUUGAGUAGUAAGAGUAGGAUAAGCUGUUUUAAUCUUUCUAUGAUACUUGAAACUUAAAAGGCUUGGCGGUGUUAUAUAUCCUUCCAGGGGAGCCUGUUUAUUAAUUUGAUAAUCCACAAUUUAUACUUACUUUUUUUUGAAUUUUACAGCUUGUGUAUUGCUGUCGUCAGUUUAUUUCGUAAGAAGGUUAUAAAAAACUUUAUAAUGUAGUAGUUAUG
rnacentral:rRNA from 1 species